rnacentral:snRNA from 1 species
GGAGGUGAGGGAGAUCUGGUUGUGACAUCUGUAACCCCAUUGAUUGCCAGGGUUGAUUCAGCUGAUCUGGCUGGCUAACCUUCCUCCCUCACCAUUCCAUUUGCUUCUCUCCAGAAGCUGUGCGCUAGGUCCAAGAGGACAUCCUUCCCUGAAUAGAGACUGAACUGUCUUCCGUCGAGGGUAUAGGAGUAGCUGAACUCCCCUGUUAGAACUUCCAAACAAGCUCUCAAGGUCCAGCUAUGUUAAGAUGUGAUAUAAUUUUGCCAUGCGCUAUCAAGAAAUUGUCAUUUUGAACAAUUUUCUUUUUUA